rnacentral:rRNA from 1 species
GAUGAACGCUGGCGGCGUGCCUAAUACAUGCAAGUCGAGCGAACAGACGAGGAGCUUGCUCCUCUGACGUUAGCGGCGGACGGGUGAGUAACACGUGGAUAACCUACCUAUAAGACUGGGAUAACUUCGGGAAACCGGAGCUAAUACCGGAUAAUAUAUUGAACCGCAUGGUUCAAUAGUGAAAGACGGUUUUGCUGUCACUUAUAAAUGGAUCCGCGCCGCAUUAGCUAGUUGGUAAGGUAACGGCUUACCAAGGCAACGAUGCGUAGCCGACCUGAGAGGGUGAUCGGCCACACUGGAACUGAAACACGGUCCAGACUCCUACGGGAGGCAGCAGUAGGGAAUCUUCCGCAAUGGGCGAAAGCCUGACGGAGCAACGCCGCGUGAGUGAUGAAGGUCUUCGGAUCGUAAAACUCUGUUAUUAGGGAAGAACAAAUGUGUAAGUAACUAUGCACGUCUUGACGGUACCUAAUCAGAAAGCCACGGCUAACUACGUG